rnacentral:rRNA from 1 species
AUUGAACGCUGGCGGCAUGCUUUACACAUGCAAGUCGAACGGUAACAGGCCGCAAGGUGCUGACGAGUGGCGAACGGGUGGGUAAUGCAUCGGAACGUGCCCAGUCGUGGGGGAUAACUACUCGAAAGAGUAGCUAAUACCGCAUACGAUCUAUGGAUGAAAGCGGGGGACCGUAAGGCCUCGCGCGAUUGGAGCGGCCGAUGUCAGAUUAGGUAGUUGGUGGGGUAAAGGCUCACCAAGCCAACGAUCUGUAGCUGGUCUGAGAGGACGACCAGCCACACUGGGACUGAGACACGGCCCAGACUCCUACGGGAGGCAGCAGUGGGGAAUGUUGGACAAUGGGCGCAAGCCUGAUCCAGCAAUGCCGCGUGCAGGAAGAAGGCCUUCGGGUCGUAAACUGCUCUUGUACGGAACGAAACGGCUCUGGUUAAUACCCGGGGCUAAUGACGGUACCGUAAGAAUAAGCACCGGCUAACUACGUG